rnacentral:lncRNA from 1 species
UUUUUAAAAACCCGAACCCGAACCCGACUCCAAACCGGAGACCCGAACCCGAAGCCGAACCCGACGAAUUUUAAAAAACCAUAUCCAAACCCGGACCCGACCAAAAAUCCGAAACCCGAAGCCGAACCCGAAAAUUUGAACCCGAAACAAUAAUUUUUUUUUUGAUAUUUCAAAAUAUAUUAUAUUAAAUCUAAAUUUUAAAAAUACAAAUUCAAAUAUAACAUCAAAUUUAUAUAUAUAUAUAUAUAUAUUACAAAAUAAAUUCGGGUUCGGGUACAAUCAAAAUCCAUAUCCGAAUCCAUAUCCGUCGGGUUUCUAUUUUUGAUAUCCAUAUCCGAAUCCAUAUCCAUAUCCAUCGGAUAUAUCCGUUUUAUUCGGGUUCGGAUUCGGAUAAAAUUUCGGGUAUCCAUACCCAUUGACAUCCCUACUCUCUAGCAGUCGUACCUUCUCAGCCUCUUUUUUGCUUCUUGGCUAAUUAAUUAGCCCCAAUGCAUUAUAUAUAAUGCUCAACCAAAGAUGUACCCCAAUCCUAGUAUAUUUAGGAUUCCGACUUUAAUUAAUAUCUAAAUCUAUCUUAAUUAAUCUCUAAUAGAUUUAAAUAUUAAUCCUAAUCUAGUUAGGUUUAUCCUCUAAUUAAUAUUUAAAUCUUAAUUUAUCUCCAACAGAUUUAAAUAUUAAUCGUAAUCCAACUAGAAAAUCAACUACAAAUCUAACCAAAUCCUAACAUUCUCCACCUU